rnacentral:misc_RNA from 1 species
GAUGAAGAACGUAGCGAAAUGCGAUAAGUAGUGUGAAUUGCAGAAUUCAGUGAAUAAUCGAAUCUUUGAACGCACAUUGCGCCCCUUGGUAUCCCGAGGGGCAUGUCUGUUCGAGCGUCAUUUCACCACUCAAGCCUGGCUUGGUGUUGGGCGACGUCCUCUUUGGGGACGCGCCUCGAAACGCUCGGCGGCGUGGCACCGGCUUUAAGCGUAGCAGAAUCUUUCGCUUUGGAAGUCGGGGCCCCGUCUGCCGGAAGACCUGCUCGCAAGGUUGACCUCGGAUCAGGCAGGGAUACCCGCUGAACUUAAGCAUAUCAAUAAGCGGAGGA